CGCGUCUGCCGUGAAAGUCCGGGGCUCAACCCCGGAUCUGCGGUGGGUACGGGCAGACUAGAGUGAUGUAGGGGAGACUGGAAUUCCUGGUGUAGCGGUGAAAUGCGCAGAUAUCAGGAGGAACACCGAUGGCGAAGGCAGGUCUCUGGGCAUUAACUGACGCUGAGGAGCGAAAGCAUGGGGAGCGAACAGGAUUAGAUACCCUGGUAGUCCAUGCCGUAAACGUU
rnacentral:rRNA from 1 species